rnacentral:misc_RNA from 1 species
UACGAGUGCCCCAAGCGUUAUCCGGAAUCCUUGGGCGUAAAGGGUGUGUAGGUGGUGUAGUUAGUCUUCUGUAAAAGCCUCGGGCUCAACUCGAGACCUGCAGAGGAAACGGCUACACUAGAGGGUGCGAGGGGUGAAUGGAACUCAAGGAGUAGGGGUGAAAUCCGUUGAUAUCAUGGGGAACACAAAAGCGAAGGCAAUUCACUGGCGCAUUCCUGACACUGAGACACGAAAGCGUGGGUAGCGAACGGG